CCUACGUGAGGCAGCAGUGGGGAAUAUUGGACAAUGGGGGGAACCCUGAUCCAGCGACGCCGCGUGAGUGAAGAAGUAUUUCGGUAUGUAAAGCUCUAUCAGCAGGGAAGAAAGAAAUGACGGUACCUGACUAAGAAGCCCCGGCUAACUACGUGCCAGCAGCCGCGGUAAUACGUAGGGGGCAAGCGUUAUCCGGAUUUACUGGGUGUAAAGGGAGCGUAGACGGCGAUGCAAGUCUGAAGUGAAAGGCGGGGGCCCAACCCCCGGACUGCUUUGGAAACUGUAUGGCUGGAGUGCAGGAGAGGUAAGUGGAAUUCCUGGUGUAGCGGUGAAAUGCGUAGAUAUUAGGAGGAACACCAGUGGCGAAGGCGGCUUACUGGACUGUAACUGACGUUGAGGCUCGAAAGCGUGGGGAGCAAACAGGAUUAGAUACCCUUGUAGUC
rnacentral:rRNA from 1 species